ACAAGUACCGUGAGGGAAAGUUGAAAAGCACUUUGGAAAGAGAGUGCAAGAGAUCGUGAAACCAAUAUAAAGUAAGCGAACGUUGCUGACGGAUUAGGCGUACAUUCAUCUAUGGUCUUCGGAUUGUGGUGCUCUUGUAUGUUGGGUGCGCUGGGCCCAUUGAUAUUGUCGGUCAAAGCUGGUGAGUGUGGUCCAUACUUGUGUGGUUACCUGCGCUAGUGGAUGAGUGGUUGAUGUUGGUGGUGUCAUGGAUUGGCGUUUGUGGAAACGGUUGGACAGGUGUUUGGCUUUUCGGUAGCACAUGUGUUAUCGUUUGGUUGGAUGGUUGUUUGGCUGGGUUUGCUCGUCGAUCUUCCCGGUGUCUAGUCAGUGAAACAUUUGACCCGUCUUGAAACACGGACCAAGGAGUUUAAAGUAUACGCGAGUCAAAGGGUUAGGAAUCCCCACGGCGUAAUGAAAGUGAGUAGCUUGUGUUAGAUCAGUGUGAUGGAGGGUUCGUCCUUCUCGCAACACUGCCCCAUGCCGUAGUUUCGACUUGGUGUGGAGGUUGAGCGUAUGCUUUGAGACCCGAAAGAUGGUGAACUAUGCUCGAACAGGAUGAAGCCAGGGGAAACCCUGGUGGAGGUCCGAAGCGGUUCUGACGUGCAAAUCGAUCGUCUGAUUUGAGUAUAGGGGCGAAAGACUAAUCGAACUAUCUAGUAGCUGGUUCCGA
rnacentral:rRNA from 1 species